UGUAACAGUGAGAAACGCACUGUCUUGGCGAAAGAAAGCGUUUUUGUACAACUUCAUAUGAAUAGCUGUAACUUUUGAUAGAAGACUCGGAUACACAUGUUUAUGGCUUUAUCUUAUAGAACUCAAGGUUCCCGUGCUGGGCAAACAGGUUUUGCAGCUGUUUGAGCUAAGAUUUCCAAGUUAUUCACAUAAUGAAAACCUAUACUUUGUUUCGGUCGAGUUCCCCAUUCAAAUGCAUGUAACAGUGAGAAACGCACUGUCUUGGCGAAAGAAAGCGUUUUUGUACAACUUCAUAUAAAUAGCUGUAACUUUUGAUAGAAGACUCGGAUACACAUGUUUAUGGCUUUAUCUUAUAGAACUCAAGGUUCCCGUGCUGGGAAAACAGGUUUUGCAGCUGUUUGAGCUAAGAUUUCCAAGUUAUUCACAUAAUGAAAACCUAUACUUUGUUUCGGUCGAGUUCCCCAUUCAAAUGCAUGUAACAGUGAGAAACGCACUGUCUUGGCGAAAGAAAGCGUUUUUGUACAACUUCAUAGAAAUAGCUGUAACUUUUGAUAGAAGACUCAGACAAACAUGUUUAUGGCCUUAUAUUAUAGAACUCAAGGUCUCCGUGCUGGGCAAACAGGUUUUGCAGCUGUUUGAGCUAAGAUUUCCAAGUUAUUCACAUAAUGAAAACCUAUACUUUGUUUCGGUCGAGUUCCCCAUUCAAAUGCAUGUAACAGUGAGAAACGCACUGUCUUGGCGAAAGAAAGCGUUUUUGUACAACUUCAUAUAAAUAGCUGUAACUUUUGAUAGAAGACUCAGACAAACAUGUUUAUGGCUUUAUCUUAUAGAACUCAAGGUUCCCGUGCUGGGAAAACAGGUUUUGCAGCUGUUUGAGCUAAGAUUUCCA
ensembl:lncRNA